rnacentral:rRNA from 1 species
GAGCGCACGGGUGCGUAACGCGUAUGCAAUCUACCUUUUACAGAGGGAUAGCCCAGAGAAAUUUGGAUUAAUACCUCAUAGUAUAAUAGCUCGGCAUCGAGCAAUUAUUAAAGUCACAACGGUAAAAGAUGAGCAUGCGUCCCAUUAGCUAGUUGGUAAGGUAACGGCUUACCAAGGCUACGAUGGGUAGGGGUCCUGAGAGGGAGAUCCCCCACACUGGUACUGAGACACGGACCAGACUCCUACGGGAGGCAGCAGUGAGGAAUAUUGGACAAUGGGCGCAAGCCUGAUCCAGCCAUGCCGCGUGCAGGAUGACGGUCCUAUGGAUUGUAAACUGCUUUUGUACAGGAAGAAACAGUUCUACGUGUAGAACCUUGACGGUACUGUAAGAAUAAGGAUCGGCUAACUCCGUGCCAGCAGCCGCGGUAAUACGGAGGAUCCAAGCGUUAUCCGGAAUCAUUGGGUUUAAAGGGUCCGUAGGCGGUUUAAUAAGUCAGUGGUGAAAGCCCAUCGCUCAACGGUGGAACGGCCAUUGAUACUGUUAAACUUGAAUUAUUAGGAAGUAACUAGAAUAUGUAGUGUAGCGGUGAAAUGCUUAGAGAUUACAUGGAAUACCAAUUGCGAAGGCAGGUUACUACUAAUUGAUUGACGCUGAUGGACGAAAGCGUGGGUAGCGAACAGGAUUAGAUACCCUGGUAGU